UACAGAGGGUGCAAGCGUUGUUCGGAAUUAUUGGGCGUAAAGCGCGUGUAGGCGGUUUUGUAAGUCUGAUGUGAAAGCCCAGGGCUUAACCCUGGAAGUGCAUUGGAUACUGCAAAACUAGAGGGCGAGAGAGGAAAGUGGAAUUCAUGGUGUAGGGGUGAAAUCCGUAGAUAUCAUGAGGAACAUCUGUGGCGAAGGCGACUUUCUGGCUCGUUUCUGACGCUGAGACGCGAAAGCCAGGGGAGCAAACGGG
rnacentral:rRNA from 1 species